UGGGAAGUAGCCAAGUGGUAAGGCAACGGACUUUGACUCCGUCAUUCGUAGGUUCGAUCCCUACCUUCCCAG
rnacentral:tRNA from 1 species